GGCCAGACUCCUACGGGAGGCAGCAGUGGGGAAUAUUGGACAAUGGGGGGAACCCUGAUCCGGCGACGCCGCGUGAGUGAAGAAGUAUUUCGGUAUGUAAAGCUCUAUCAGCAGGGAAGAAAGAAAUGACGGUACCUGACUAAGAAGCCCCGGCUAACUACGUGCCAGCAGCCGCGGUAAUACGUAGGGGGCAAGCGUUAUCCGGAUUUACUGGGUGUAAAGGGCGUGUAGGCGGGACUGCAAGUCAGAUGUGAAAAUUAUGGGCUCAACCCAUAACCUGCAUUUGAAACUGUAGUUCUUGAGUGAUGGAGAGGCAGGCGGAAUUCCUAGUGUAGCGGUGAAAUGCGUAGAUAUUAGGAGGAACACCAGUGGCGAAGGCGGCCUGCUGGACGACAACGGACGGUGAGGCGCGAAAGCGUGGGGAGCAAACAGGAUAAGAUACCCCAGUA
rnacentral:rRNA from 1 species